UCUUUUCUAUAGGUUGACCGAAGCGAAAAACCCAACCGCAACGUGAGCUGGGGGAACCGCCACACCGGAGAGCCGUGCUACCGUUGAGUUUCAAAUUUUUGUAUUUUUUUGGGCCCACUGAGGCCCUUUAGCGUGUGUACUCGUAAGAAUCAAUGUAAAAUUGACCGAAUUUAGCCAAAAAUGGCAAAAAACGGUCGACUCGAGACGGACCGCCGCUGCGGGCGACAGCACUGUCGCUAGAGCUCGGCGGAGCCGCCGUUUGAAUUUCCAAAAUUGGCUGAGUAGGCCCUAGGACU
rnacentral:lncRNA from 1 species